AUAUAUAUAUAUAUAUAUAAUAGAUUUAUUACUUAUUUUUAUUGAUGCGGAUAUAGCUAAUGGCAAAUGAAUGAUUAGGAGAAGGGAGAGGGGUAGUUUUAUCUUUUGGGAGGUUAAGGGUUUGUAUUGAAAAAGUGGGCACUGUUCACCCGAUGAAGGGGCGCUGGUUUCUUCGCCGCCAGCCCUCGCACGCAGGUUUGCUGGCCAGCGUCGACGCCGGUUCGUGCUUUGGUGGUCCGCCGUCGACACCGAGGGGCUUCUGCUCUCGCUGCCGCCGCUGGAAAGUUCCGUCGGCGGUGCUCGCCUCCGGGCCAUAUCCUUUCCUUGCACUCGCUGCUCCGCCUUCUCAGCGCCAACGUGGUCGACGCCGUCGAUCCACCAGUGCCGACGCCUCUUGCUCAUCAUCUCCUCUGGACUAGGGCUGCUCUUCAUUCACGCUGCCGACACCAGCAGAGGACACGCGGUCGCGCUACCUCCUCUCACUGUCGCUACAGUGACGCCUCUCUUCUUCCCUCGCCAGAAGCCUCAUCGUGGACCUAGCUGCCUCGCCUCUUAUCCUCUCGCCGGAAGCCCCCUCCGGUAGGGGUUUCCUUGUGCCCGACCAUCACGGCAGAAGCGUACACAGACGGUACCUGCGCUGCCUCCGAUGCUUGCCAUGCCCAUUACUAGCAGCCCCUCGCCCUCAUGCACGAGGGCUCUCAUCCGUGUGUUAAUCCAGCGGGCGUUGGCAUCCCUGUGAGCGUUGUCGCCCUUGCCAGUCGCUGUCGCCAUCCUUGGCGCCACUUCAAGCCACUGCUGCCCAAUUCAGCGGCCUCGCUUCUAGUGGCCGUUACCGCCUUAUGAUGCCACCUUCACCGCCGCCCUCCAAGAUCCAGCUCCUCAGCUGACUCGCAUCCAUCCAUCCGAGGGCGCCCCCCCCCCCCGGGGCCAGGGUACGUCGUCGUAUUUAUUUUGCAUUUAUUUUAUUGUCCUAUUAUUAUGUGAAUGCUUAUCUGUGCGCGGGACCCACCUCGAGCAUCGAGGUACUAGGGAUCAGGGCAACUCGGUCACUGGUUGCAGGUGUGGUUGACCAGAAGACAUUGGACGAUUUGGUCAACACAAGAGACAGCUCAUCAGCCGAGUCAUGAGAACGCGGUCAACCUUCCAGACACGUCACGCCGAUAGGUCCAUCUUCUCAGCUUCCCGACAGGAUCAUUUAUUAUUAUGUUAUUUAGUAUUUUAGACAUAUCUUCAUGGGCUAGUACAUGAUUAAAUAUUUAAUAUGGAUUGAUGCUAUUAAAAAACAA